rnacentral:rRNA from 1 species
AUUGAACGCUGGCGGCAGGCCUAACACAUGCAAGUCGAGCGAGCGGCGGACGGGUGUGUAAUGCUUGGGAACAUGCAUUGAGGUGGGGGACAACAGGUGGAAACGACUGCUAAUACCGCAUACCUUUAGAUUGGCCCAAGUGGGAUUAGCUAGUUGGUGAGGUAAUGGCUCACCAAGGCGACGAUCCCUAGCUGGUUUGAGAGGAUGAUCAGCCACACUGGGACUGAGACACGGCCCAGACUCCUACGGGAGGCAGCAGUGGGGAAUAUUGCACAAUGGGCGCGAGCCUGAUGCAGCCAUGCCGCGUGUGUGAAGAAGGCCUUCGGGUUGUAAAGCACUUUCAGUCAGGAGGCGUUACUGACAGAAGAAGCACCGGCUAACUCCGUGCCAGCAGCCGCGGUAAUUC